AUUUCAAACUACGUUAUAGGUGCCCUUCAGGGCUUAAUAGGGAAGUCCGGUGCAAAACCGGCACGGUCCCGCCACUGUAAUGGGGAGCAAAUCCAGGGUAUGCCACUGGAAUAAUAAUUCCGGGAAGGUUUGGAGGCACUAUGAUCCAGAGUCAGGAGAACUGCCUAUAGGACAAUCACCGU
rnacentral:ncRNA from 2 species